UACGAAGGAUGCAAGCGUUAUCCGGAUUCACUGGGUUUAAAGGGCGUGCAGGUGGGGUAAUAAGUCAGUGGUGAAAGCCCCCGACUCAAUCGGGGAACUGCCAUAGAUACUGUUAUUCUUGAGUGUGGUUGAGGCGGAUGGAAUAUGACAUGUAGCGGUGAAAUGCUUAGAUAUGUCAUAGAACACCGAUCGCGAAGGCAGUCCGCCAAACCAUUACUGACACUGAAACACGAAAGUGCGGGGAUCAAACAGG
rnacentral:rRNA from 1 species